CUAGGUUGGUCGAUGUUAGGCUUGGAAGUGUGACAGAGAAGGGCUCCUGCACCCCUGUUUGCACAUGCUUGUUUGAGAUUUUUCGGGCUGUGAAACCUCCAGUUCCCGUGUGACCAGACUGCACAUCCGCACUCCCGUGCCCCUGUGCUGGCUGCUUACUCGCCUUUCCCCGCAGCCUGGAGGGGAAAACUCGCUGGAAGAACCCGCGAGAUAAUCAGGUGUCCGUUGGCUUCCAGAUCAAAGAGAAGAAAAGAUCCCGUGACACGAGCAUAGGAGGCGAAAAGCCAAGGACAAAAAGAGAGGAACGCUUGGGACAGGCUGUCGUGAGGCGAAGGCUGAGCUGGGAAAGCAUCCAAACCCAGGACAAGGUGAGGCAGACACUUCCAGCGCUGCGGAGCCUGUGCCGCAGUUGCCCUGAGGAGAGCCAUCUGCCACGGGCUGGGGAUAACCGCGUGCCCGAGCAAGCCUGAGCAUCUGUGGGGACUGCUGCGGCAUCCUGGUGAUGAAGUAGAGCCUGAGAACAUGGUGAAGCAGCACAGAGGGUACUGAAGCAUAGUCUGGCUGUUGAAGGAGCACCACAGAUUGGAGCUCUGCAGGAUGUGUGGCCAGGCACUAAGGACAAGCUCUGCCUCGCAGCGUGGACACAGCGAAGUGCUGGGGCUGCAUCGCAGAUGGGGCGGCGGGGGGCUGUGCCCUGGCUGGGGAUGAGACGGGCUGCGUGGCGCUCUGGGCACUGCUGGGAGGAGGGAGCGGGACGUUGUGUCGGGGAGGCUGAAGUUUGGGCAUUUAGUGAGUGAUGUGCAAUCCUGGCAACGGGAAUUUGCUUGAUGUGCCAAGUGGUUGGGUACCUUGGACUACGAAUGUUCAUCAUGUGAGUA
rnacentral:lncRNA from 1 species